rnacentral:rRNA from 1 species
UACGGAGGGUGCGAGCGUUGUCCGGAAUCACUGGGCGUAAAGGGCGCGUAGGUGGCUACUCAAGGCGCGCGGUGAAAGCCCGGGGACUCAACCCGGAACUCGCACUGGAUACUGCCAUGGCUUGAGUAUGGAGAGGAGAUUGGAAUUUACGGUGUAAGCAGUGAAAUGCGUAGAUAUCGUAAGGAAGACCAGGUGGCGAAGGCCGAAUCUCUGGACAGUUACUGACACUGGAGGCACGGAAGGCCAGGGAGACAAACGGG